CCCCACCGAUCAAGUCCAUUGUCGGAACCUCCCUUCUCCUCGACCCCUCCUCUAGUGACCCUAACAGCCACUUCCCCUCCACUUCCUCCACCACUGCCGCGUCCAAGUGUUGUCCCUUGCACUCGCCCGCGGCCCUCUUCCGAGGCCUCUCGCCGCGGUGAGGUUUUUUUCUUUUUUAUAUUGCAGAGGACAGAAAAUAGUGGGUCUAUUCUCUCUCUCUCCCACGCUCACCUC
rnacentral:lncRNA from 1 species